GACGAACGCUGGCGGCGUGCUUAACACAUGCAAGUCGAGCGGUAAGGCCCUUUCGGGGUACGACGAGCGGCGAACGGGUAGGAGUAACAACGUGGGUGGACCUCGCCCUCCAGCGUCUGGGAGUAAGACCUCGGGAAACCGGGGUACCGUAAUACCGGAUAUGACUCCAUGACGCAUGUUGUGGGGUGGAAAGCCUUGUGCGGCUGAGGAUGGGCCCGCGGCCUAUCAGCUUGUUGGUGGGGUGAUGGCCUACCAAGGCGACGACGGGUAGCCGGCCUGAGAGGGCGACCGGCCACACUGGGACUGAGACACGGCCCAGACUCCUACGGGAGGGCAGCAGUGGGGAA
rnacentral:rRNA from 1 species